rnacentral:rRNA from 1 species
GACGAACGCUGGCGGCGUGCUUAACACAUGCAAGUCGAACGGUGAACGAGGGAGCUUGCUCCCUCCGGAUCAGUGGCGAACGGGUGAGUAACACGUAAGCAAUCUGCUCCGAACUCUGGGAUAAUCGUUGGAAACGACGUCUAAUACCGGAUACGACGCGGGAGGGCAUCCUCUCCGCGUGCAAAGAACUUCGGUUGGGGAUGAGCUCGCGGCCUAUCAGCUUGUUGGUGAGGGAACGGCUCACCAAGGCGACGACGGGUAGGCGGCCUGAGAGGGUGACCGGGCACAAUGGGACUGAGACAGGGACCAGUCUCCUACGGGAGGCAGCAGUGGGGAAUAUUGCACAAUGGGCGCAAGCCUGAUGCAGCAACGCCGCGUGAGGGAAGACGGCCUUCGGGUUGUAAACCUCUUUUAGCAGGGAAGAAGCGAAAGUGACGGUACCUGAAGAAAAAGCACCGGCUAACUACGUG